GGAGAGAUGGCCGAGUGGUUCAUGGCGUAGCAUUGGAACUUCUAUGUAGGGUUUUUUUUAGAGUGGGUUCGAAUACCUCUCUUUUCA
rnacentral:tRNA from 1 species